rnacentral:rRNA from 1 species
GAUGAACGCUAGCGAUAGGCUUAACACAUGCAAGUCGAGGGGCAGCAUGGUCUUAGCUUGCUAAGACUGAUGGCGACCGGCGCACGGGUGCGUAACGCGUAUGCAACUUGCCUCACAGAGGGGGAUAACCCGUCGAAAGACGGACUAAUACCGCGUACACUUGGGAUAGGGCAUCCUGACCCAAGGAAAUGAAAUUCGCUGUGAGAUAGGCAUGCGUCCCAUUAGCUAGUUGGUGAGGUAACGGCUCACCAAGGCGACGAUGGGUAGGGGAACUGAGAGGUUGAACCCCCACACUGGGACUGAGACACGGACCAGACUCCUACGGGAGGCAGCAGUGAGGGAGAUUGGUGAAUGGGCGAGAGCCUGAACCAGCCAAGUCGCGUGAAGGAUGGCUGUCUUAUGGAUUGUAAACUUCUUUUAUACGGGAAUAACAAGAGCCACGUGUGGCUCCCUGCAUGUACCGUAUGAAUAAGCAUCGGCUAACUCCGUG